rnacentral:tRNA from 35 species
GCUGCUGUAGCUCAGUGGUAGAGCACCUCAUUGGUAAUGAGGAGGUCGACAGUUCAAUCCUGUCCAGCAGCACCA